rnacentral:rRNA from 4 species
CAGCAGCCGCGGUAAUUCCAGCUCCAAUAGCGUAUAUUAAAGUUGUUGCAGUUAAAAAGCUCGUAGUUGAACCUUGGGCCUGGCUGGCCGGUCCGCCUCACCGCGUGUACUGGUCCGGCCGGGCCUUUCCUUCUGGGGAGCCGCAUGCCCUUCACUGGGCGUGUCGGGGAACCAGGACUUUUACUUUGAAAAAAUUAGAGUGUUCAAAGCAGGCCUUUGCUCGAAUACAUUAGCAUGGAAUAAUAGAAUAGGACGUGUGGUUCUAUUUUGUUGGUUUCUAGGACCGCCGUAAUGAUUAAUAGGGAUAGUCGGGGGCAUCCGUAUUCAAUUGUCAGAGGUGAAAUUCUUGGAUUUAUUGAAGACGAACUACUGCGAAAGCAUUUGCCAAGGAUGUUUUCAUUAAUCAGUGAACGAAAGUUAGGGGAUCGAAGACGAUCAGAUACCGUCGUAGUCUUAACCAUAAACUAUGCCGACUAGGGAUCGGUGGAUGUUAUCUUUUUGACUCCAUCGGCACCUUACGAGAAAUCAAAGUUUUUGGGUUCUGGGGGGAGUAUGGUCGCAA